AUUGAACGCUGGCGGCAGGCCUAACACAUGCAAGUCGAGCGGAUGAAGGGAGCCUGCUCCUGGAUUCAGCGGCGGACGGGUGAGUAAUGCCUAGGAAUCUGCCUGGUAGUGGGGGAUAACGUCCGGAAACGGGCGCUAAUACCGCAUACGUCCUGAGGGAGAAAGUGGGGGAUCUUCGGACCUCACGCUAUCAGAUGAGCCUAGGUCGGAUUAGCUGGUUGGUGGGGUAAAGGCCUACCAAGGCGACGAUCCGUAACUGGUCUGAGAGGAUGAUCAGUCACACUGGAACUGAGACACGGUCCAGACUCCUACGGGAGGCAGCAGUGGGGAAUAUUGGACAAUGGGCGAAAGCCUGAUCCAGCCAUGCCGCGUGUGUGAAGAAGGUCUUCGGAUUGUAAAGCACUUUAAGUUGGGAGGAAGGGCAGUAAGUUAAUACCUUGCUGUUUUGACGUUACCAACAGAAUAAGCACCGGCUAACUUCGUG
rnacentral:rRNA from 1 species